GGCUGCUUGCACUGCUGCAGGCUUCUCAUUCAGCCCUGUAGCCAGGGAGUAAUCCUCAAACUCAGCUCUGAAGUUAUCCCAGUUACUGCUGCAAUCCCCACUCACCCUCAUUGCCUCAGGUAGUGGAAUGCUAUGAGCAGCUGCCAUGAUGCUGGUUUUCUUGUUUCCAGUGCUCAGCUUGCAGGACAGUAGUAGCUGUAAUUGCUACAGCAGGCACA